rnacentral:rRNA from 1 species
UACGGGGGGGCAAGCGUUGUUCGGAAUUACUGGGCGUAAAGGGCUCGUAGGCGGCCAACUAAGUCAGACGUGAAAUCCCUCGGCUUAACCGGGGAACUGCGUCUGAUACUGGAUGGCUUGAGUGUGGGAGAGGGAUGCGGAAUUCCAGGUGUAGCGGUGAAAUGCGUAGAUAUCGAGAGGAACACCUGCGGCGAAGGCGGGUUGCUGGGCCGACACUGACGCUGAAGCGCGAAAGCCAGGGGAGCGAACGGG